rnacentral:pre_miRNA from 1 species
UUGGGGUGAGGUAGUAGGUUGUAUAGUAAAGCACUACACCUAUUCUCGGAGACUGUACAGCCUGCUAACUUUCCCUA